rnacentral:rRNA from 1 species
UGGUGGAGUGAUUUGUCUGGUUAAUUCCGUUAACGAACAAGACCUUAACCUGCUAAAUAAUUACGCGUGGCCCCGGCUGCGUGGACAAUUUCUUAGAGGGACUUUGUGUGUCUAACGCAAAGAAGCUUGAGGCAAUAACA